GACUAAUAUUAUUAAGUCAAAAUUUUUUUAAUCAAAAAGGCGGCGCCUUUCUCUCGCCAUUUCAGCGCCAUUAUCGCCAGGGCCUCGCCUUUUUCACCUCGCCUCGCCUCGCCAGAGAAUGGUGAGCCACCCUCGCCUAGCCUCGCCUCUCGCCUUUGGCGACGAGGCGAGCGCCUUUCAUAACACUGGUCCCUCCUCAAAU
rnacentral:misc_RNA from 1 species